GCGUCGACGAGGAACCCAACGGGCAACGGCUGCUGCAUUCGCCUCCUCUCCUGUAAGGAUACAAUUGACAUGAUUUGCUGUGGGAUGCAGCUUCCAUGGUGAAUAGGGUUUUCUGCAGCAGCACUAAACAAGAUUCAGCUAUUCAACAGCUUACAUCAGAUACUACAAUAGAGUGUCGCUGCAGGUUUGCAUCAUUAUGAACUAUUGAAAAUUGGCAAACUUUAUGCUGGCAAGGAUAC